rnacentral:rRNA from 1 species
UAAGUGAAUAGUGAAAGCUGGAGGCUCAACCUUACAGACUAUUAUUCAAACUGGCAAACUCGAGAGUAGUAGAGGUAACUGGAAUUUCUUGUGUAGGAGUGAAAUCCGUAGAUAUAAGAAGGAACACCAAUGGCGUAGGCAGGUUACUGGGCUAUCUCUGACACUGAGGCACGAAAGCGUGGGGAGCGAACCGGAUUAGAUACCCGGGUAGUCCACGCCGUAAACGAUGGAUACUA